CGCAAGUCCCAGACGCUGCCCAUGGAGACGACCAGCGAGCCGCCGCUGGAUGCUAAGUCCGAUGUCACCAACCAGUAUUAAAAUGAAGAUACUUUAUUUAAAUAUGACCAGCGUUGAAACUAAAAGUUGAGUGUAACUGCAGUAAAAUUGAAUAAAUAUCUGCAUUCCAGAAUUUCUACAGACAGUUCAAGGAAAUUGCUGCAGUUAUUGAAACGGUGUGAAGACGGAUUCUUUGGUUGAUAAAUUGCUAUCAUUCUAAAGUCAUGGACUUCACUUUCUGCAACAAAACUAAAUAAGGAUGGAACAUUUAUUGAAUGAAAAAUGCACUUUUGUUUUUCCAUUUUUUUAAAUAAUAAAAAUCAGACAAACAGGAA
rnacentral:sRNA from 1 species